CUUUGAUUUACUUUUAUUAAUUUCCAGCUCUCAUUGUUAUCUGUUUACAAAGAAUUUGAUGCUUAGUCUUUGCUGGUUCUUAAACGGAGCCCUUGCAUUCUUAUAAAAGUUCCAUGAUUUAUAUUGGUCUUGCAUCACCAUUGUGACAAGGCCCGCCGGCUAUGUGAGGCAUUCGGUGCAUAGGAUUUUUCCCCUUUGUCACUUUAUGAACGGAAAAAAAGAACUUUUCAUGUCUUGAAUGUUUGGAAUCUGCCUUGUGUAGCUGAUGUCAACUUUUUUAUUUCUGUUAUUUAGUUGCUGCUGUUAAACUUCUGUUGAGUUGCUUGUUGGUUCUUUUGAAGAGUAUUGUCAGUCAUGGGGUUGAAAAGCUAGCUAUCCAGUGAUGAUGAACUUCUGGUUGUUCG